rnacentral:misc_RNA from 1 species
GACGAAAACAACAACGAGAGACCCCAGAAGGGCAAUGCACAAUCUGGAACUAGUAACGAAAAACAAAUGAGAACAGAUAAAGAUAACAGUAUAGAAGAAAAUAUUGAUGAGAUUGAAGCAGCUCUUGCCCAAUUGAAAAAGGAAUUAGGACUAUGAUGGCAUUGAAUCGAUACUCGCAAAGAAGAGCAAUGAAAUAUUGAACAUCUUUUUGGUUGUGCCUGGCUGCAACAAAAAUGGUUCACCUACUUUAAACCUGUACCAGCUGAAAAUCAAAAAGGGUUUGCUUUCUUUUCCUUGAACACCUGCUGUGAUUGACAUUUUCUAUAGUAGCCAUGGAGAACUGUCUGCUGCAUCUUUUGACGUCUAAGAAAUAGCUAGUAUAAUUGAUGCUCAGACGAAUACAAUGAUUUUGGUGUUUCACAUGUGAAAUUUAAUAGCAA